AGGACGAACGCUGGCGGCGUGCUUAACACAUGCAAGUCGAGCGGUAAGGCCUUUCGGGGUACACGAGCGGCGAACGGGUGAGUAACACGUGGGUGAUCUGCCCUGCACUUCGGGAUAAGCCUGGGAAACUGGGUCUAAUACCGGAUAUGACCUCAGGUUGCAUGACUUGGGGUGGAAAGAUUUAUCGGUGCAGGAUGGGCCCGCGGCCUAUCAGCUUGUUGGUGGGGUAAUGGCCUACCAAGGCGACGACGGGUAGCCGACCUGAGAGGGUGACCGGCCACACUGGGACUGAGACACGGCCCAGACUCCUACGGGAGGCAGCAGUGGGGAAUAUUGCACAAUGGGCGAAAGCCUGAUGCAGCGACGCCGCGUGAGGAUGACGGCCUCGGGUUGUAAACCUCUUUCAGCCAGGACGAAGCGCAAGUGACGGUACCUGCAGAAGAAGCACCGGCUAACUACGUACCAGCAGCCGC
rnacentral:rRNA from 1 species